CCUACGGGAGGCAGCAGUGGGGAAUAUUGCACAAUGGGGGAAACCCUGAUGCAGCGACGCCGCGUGAGUGAAGAAGUAAUUCGUUAUGUAAAGCUCUAUCAGCAGGGAAGAAAAUGACGGUACCUGAGUAAGACGCCCCGGCUAACUACGUGCCAGCCGCCGCGGUCAUACGUAGGGGGCAAGCGUUAUCCGGAUUUACUGGGUGUAAAGGGAGCGUAGACGGCAGUGCAAGUCUGGAGUGAAAGGCGGGGGCUCAACCCCCGGACUGCUCUGGAAACUGUACGGCUGGAGUGCAGGAGAGGUAAGUGGAAUUCCUAGUGUAGCGGUGAAAUGCGUAGAUAUUAGGAGGAACACCAGUGGCGAAGGCGGCUUACUGGACUGUAACUGACGUUGAGGCUCGAAAGCGUGGGGAGCAAACAGGAGUAGAUACCCCUGUAGUC
rnacentral:rRNA from 1 species